ACGGGUGAGUAACGCGUGGGAACAUACCCAACUCUACGGAAUAACUCACGGAAACUUGUGCUAAUACCGUAUACGCCCUUCGGGGGAAAGAUUUAUCGGAGUUGGAUUGGCCCGCGUUGGAUUAGCUAGUUGGUGGGGUAAAGGCCUACCAAGGCGACGAUCCAUAGCUGGUCUGAGAGGAUGAUCAGCCACAUUGGGACUGAGACACGGCCCAAACUCCUACGGGAGGCAGCAGUGGGGAAUAUUGGACAAUGGGCGCAAGCCUGAUCCAGCCAUGCCGCGUGUGUGAUGAAGGCCUUAGGGUUGUAAAGCACUUUCACCGGAGAAGAUAAUGACGGUAUCCGGAGAAGAAGCCCCGGCUAACUUCGUGCCAGCAGCCGCGGUAAUACGAAGGGGGCUAGCGUUGUUCGGAAUUACUGGGCGUAAAGCGCACGUAGGCGGAUCGAUCAGUCAGGGGUGAAAUCCCAGAGCUCAACUCUGGAACUGCCUUUGAUACUGUCGAUCUAGAGUAUGGAAGAGGUGAGUGGAAUUCCGAGUGUAGAGGUGAAAUUCGUAGA
rnacentral:rRNA from 2 species